GAACGCUGGCGGCAGGCCUAACACAUGCAAGUCGAGCGGUAACAUUUCUAGCUUGCUAGAAGAUGACGAGCGGCGGACGGGUGAGUAAUGCUUGGGAACAUGCCUUGAGGUGGGGGACAACAGUUGGAAACGACUGCUAAUACCGCAUAAUGUCUACGGACCAAAGGGGGCUUCGGCUCUCGCCUUUAGAUUGGCCCAAGUGGGAUUAGCUAGUUGGUGAGGUAAUGGCUCACCAAGGCGACGAUCCCUAGCUGGUUUGAGAGGAUGAUCAGCCACACUGGGACUGAGACACGGCCCAGACUCCUACGGGAGGCAGCAGCGGGGAAUAUUGCACAAUGGGCGCAAGCCUGAUGCAGCCAUGCCGCGUGUGUGAAGAAGGCCUUCGGGUUGUAAAGCACUUUCAGUCAGGAGGAAAGGUUAGUAGUUAAUACCUGCUAGCUGUGACGUUACUGACAGAAGAAGCACCGGCUAACUCCGUGC
rnacentral:rRNA from 1 species